rnacentral:rRNA from 1 species
UACGAAGGGGCUAGCGUUGCUCGGAUUGACUGGGCGUAAAGGGCGCGUAGGCGGUUCGUACAGUCAGACGUGAAAUCCUGGGCUCAACCUGGGGGCUGCGUUUGAUACGUGCGGACUUGAGUGCGGAAGAGGGUCGUGGAAUUCCCAGUGUAGAGGUGAAAUUCGUAGAUAUUGGGAAGAACACCGGUGGCGAAGGCGGCGACCUGGUCCGAUACUGACGCUGAGGCGC